UACGUAGGGGGCAAGCGUUGUCCGGAUUUAUUGGGCGUAAAGAGCUCGUAGGUGGUUUGGUAAGUCGGAUGUGAAAUCUCCAGGCUCAACCUGGAGGGGUCAUUCGAUACUGCCAUGACUAGAGGUCGGUAGGGGAGGUGUGGAAUUCCUGGUGGAGCGGUGAAAUGCGCAGAUAUCAGGAGGAACACCCGGUGCGAAGGCGGGCACUGUCGG
rnacentral:rRNA from 1 species